GUCGAACCGUGCAAACGUUAUUCGGAAUCACUGGGCAUAAAGGGCGCGUAGGCGGCUUUCUAAGUCAGGGGUGAAAUCCGGCAGCUCAACUGUCGCAGUGCCUUUGAUACUGGAGAGCUCGAGGGAGGUAGGGGUCUGUGGAACUUCCGGUGGAGCGGUGAAAUGCGUUGAUAUCGGAAGGAACGCCGGUGGCGAAAGCGACGGACUGGAUCUCUUCUGACGCUGAGGCGCGAAAGCCAGGGGAGCAAACGGG
rnacentral:rRNA from 1 species